rnacentral:lncRNA from 1 species
CCGUUCCUUAACAUCCAAUAAAAAGACAGACAACACGAAAGUGUGAUCUUAGAACUGUUUCUUUUGUUAUCUCUACCCAGGAGUUGUUAACAAUACACCUGAUUAUGAAGUUGCUUUAGACCUGGUGGCAUUCAUUCAAGGACCACAGAAAACAAGAAUGUAAAAAGGUACCAGGAGGGGAGAGAGCAAGGAAAACGGGCAGAAUCAUGUGAUAGGAAAAGGGAAUGAGAAAAUGGCGAUGGGUAGCAGUCUGGUGUAGAUGCUUCUGGGACUGUUUAUAUGGAAGAAAGCAGACAGACAGCAUUUCUACUCUGAAACUAAGAAUCAUGCAUGCGGCGUUCUAAUUACAGCUCUAAAAUUUGCACAGGUGUGUUGUCUGUACAUUG